GAUGAACGCUAGCGGCAGGCUUAAUACAUGCAAGUCGUGGGGCAGCAUGAGUAGCAAUACUUGAUGGCGACCGGCAAACGGGUGAGGGAACACGUACACAACCUUCCUUCAAGCGGGGAAUAGCCCAGAGAAAUUUGGAUUAAUACCCCAUAAUAUAUUUGAUAAGGCAUCUUAUUAAUAUUAAAGCUUCGGCACUUGAUGAUGGGUGUGCGGCUGAUUAGAUAGUUGGCGGGGUAACGGCCCACCAAGUCUACGAUCAGUAGCUGAUGUGAGAGCAUGAUCAGCCACACGGGCACUGAGACACGGGCCCGACUCCUACGGGAGGCAGCAGUAAGGAAUAUUGGACAAUGGACGAAAGUCUGAUCCAGCCAUGCCGCGUGAAGGAUUAAGGUCCUCUGGA
rnacentral:rRNA from 1 species